ensembl:lncRNA
CAUAAACAUACCUCUGCAGAACCGGCUACAAAAUACUUUUCAAAAAGUGUCUGAGCAACAACCAACACAGAAUAUCAAAGACGCUCUCCCUGAGCAACAAACAAUACUGAGGCAUACCCUUUUAAGCUGCAGAAGGAGUCUAAUUGAAGACAGCUGUAUCCUUUGACGAGAAGGCGGGGUCAGAGCUCCAAUUAUCGAUGGGACCGACCAAUCAGCUGCUUAGGACUUCAGGAAGCUAUUUCCUGAAAUACACACAUAGACACAUACAAACCCACAACAACACAGAAACUGGGGAACGUAACACAAUUUACAUACAUUUAAAAACAUGUAAUGUGUGUGCAUCUAUCAGUUACACGUCAGUACAUAUACACAAAGCCAGAGUUCACAUGGGGCUAAAGAGGAAAUUGGAGCCCAGAUGGAAAUCGAGGCUAAAAAGGAUGCCAUAGAUGAGAAGACGGUCCUUGACGUCAUCUCUGGAGAUUUAUCCACCCCCCACCCUGUUAUCUCAGAACUGCAGUGUCACACGCAGCUCGCCGCCCCCAAGGAAAUCCCAACAGAGGCAGUGCUGAAUGGACAGAUGGCAGCUGAGGUGGCCAUUGAGGGAUAGAUCUCUAUGGAUGUCCUCAGUCAGUAUGAAAGACUAAAGAGAGCCUGACAGUGAGCCGACCAGCGAACUUUACUUUUCAUUUUUUAGGGCUUAAAGGGACCGCUGGGAAAUUUGACAGACAUCCAACACUCAGUGCCUUUCUUGCUUGGGUUCUUACAAACAAAAUAUUAAACAAGUUUAAAAUGCGACAUGAAGGUGGGGGAAUAACACUUUUUUGUUGUUGAUCAGAAUGUGACAAUUUGGAAUAAACAAAUCAUGGCUUUCAUAGAUUUCUGUAUCCCAUUGCAUAUAUUGUGGAUUUGCCUCAAUUGUAAAUGGCAUGCAUUGUGUAUGAAUACUGUAGAAUUAAUGAAUGUGGCAAUGGCUUGUCUUCACAUGUUUGUAUGGAUGAGAGGGAUUAAUUCCUUGUACACGUUUCCUGUUUUAACCUGGUUUGAUUCCUUUUUGUGAAGGGACAGUAUGGCAGUUUGUACAGUACCAUAGCUACCCCCUCUUCUCCCUAUCCCCAUUGUGGUACUUUUGUUUUUUCAGGGACUGUAUGAUGACAGCUCCACCCUCUUUACUGUGUAGUGUCAGUGUGUCUACAGUCCCAAGUCUGUCCUGGGCAAUGUGAAAUGGUGUGUAGUUUUAGGUCCUCUGACCAGAUGCUCUUAACAUUUAAUUACCUAUGCUGCCAACUUAAAAUAGAGUAUGGGGGCCUGUAGAUCCUGUUUUUAGUUUUUCUUUUCUUUUUCUGUUUUGUAUAGACCAUAUGAUGUGGUACAACCGCUGUUUGUGUUCAGUUACGUGCUCUGGAAUUGACCAUGGAGUUGUCAUGUAAUUGAGGAGCUGGGUUGGAUUUCAUUCACCUUUUUGAAUAAAGAUGUUACUC